rnacentral:rRNA from 1 species
UACGUAGGUCCCGAGCGUUGUCCGGAUUUAUUGGGUUUAAAGGGUGCGCAGGCGGCACGGCAAGCCGGCGGUCAAAUCGCGGGGCUCAACCCCGCCCAGCCGUCGGAACUGCCGGGCUAGAGUGGGCGAGAAGUGCGCGGAAUGCGUGGUGUAGCGGUGAAAUGCACAGAUAUCACGCAGAACUCCGAUUGCGAAGGCAGCGCACCGGCGCCCUACUGACGCUCAGGCACGAAAGCGUGGGUAUCGAACAGG